UAACACCGGCGGCUCGAGUGGUAACCGUUAUUAUUGGGUCUAAAGGGUCUGUAGCCGGCCGGAUAAGUCUCUUGAGAAAUCUGGCAGCUUAACUGUCAGGCUUUCAGGAGAUACUGUCUGGCUCGAGGCCGGGAGAGGUGAGAGGUACUUCAGGGGUAGGGGUGAAAUCUUGUAAUCCUUGAAGGACCACCAGUGGCGAAGGCGUCUCACCAGAACGGACCUGACGGCAAGGGACGAAAGCUAGGGGCACGAACCGG
rnacentral:rRNA from 1 species